UAUUGGAAUUCUUGAAAUCUGUUAACUUUCCAGAUGGCUAUGCUUCAACCAUAUCAAGAUGUGUAAGUGUGGAAGAUGGGAUGAUUUCAGGGUUAAAAAGUCAUGACUGCCAUAUGUUGUUGCAACGUCUGCUUCUAAUUGGAAUACAUGGAUACUUGCAUAAAGAUGUGGUGACUGCAUUGGUUGAGUUAGCAAAUUUUUUCCACGAGUUAUAUGCUAAGACAUUGAACGUCAAAGAAUUAGACACAUUACAAGAAAAUGUGGUUGUGAUAUUAUGUAAGUUGGAAAAAAUUUUUCCACCUCUGUUCUUUGAUGUCAUGAUCCACUUAAUAGUUCACUUACCAGAAGAAGCAAACUUGGUGAGCCAGUGCAAAAUAGAUGGAUGUUCCCAAUUGAACGGUAAUGUUUCAUACGAUUUAAUAAUUUACAUUGAAUUAUUAUGUUAGCAUUUAUGCACUUUGAUAAUAUUAAUAUUCAUUAAUACUCACCUUAGUCCUUUUAGAUUUAGAAAGAAAAAAAAAGGGGAGAAUUGUGGCAAUUGCAUGUCCAUGUAAUAAACCAGAAUGUCCGCCUAUUAUAAUGAAAUGCACUAGUCAUUAUUAAUUGCUUCAGAAGAUACAGAAUAACUCCCUAUAGAAUCUCUUCUAGUUGGACUUGGGUAUCAUAUCAGGUUUAUGCAGUUGAUGUCUUUCUAUCUGAUAACUAAUUCUAGUUCCUCUAGUGACUUGCUUGAAUAUGAUCAGAAAGUAACUUCAGUAGUAAUAAUUGGUUCAGAUAAUUCCUUUGCCUUUUAUGUCAGUUAACAUUUUUUGCCAAAUUAGUUAGAAGCUUUCAUGUAGACUCAGAAAGAGGUUAACUUUUCCCUGUUACAUUUCAUGGCAUGAAAUGUGUCUCCUUUUUUUAUUGCUUUCUUAAAGUUACUCGUUGGAGUUUAAUUCAAGCGGGGCAUUUAAUUUCUCUGUUUGUUGGCUUCGAUCUGUAUCCUGAAAAUAAUUUUGCAAAUUGUUCACUAAUUUUUGUGGCAGAACCUUCCAAAUCCGCUGCAAGACAAUCCAUCUUAUUCAGCUGUCAAUAUUUUGUUAAUGCGGAUGAUACUGUUCCUCAAGAUUGGAAGAUGUUGGCCAUCGAAGAAGAUUUCAAGAACUGGCUCCAGGACUUAUUUCUGUUUUAGAUUUUUUUUAAAUUUUAUGAGACGUACGUGUAGUACCUUUUGGCUAUGUAUGACUAAUGACAAUAUCGAAGACUUUCUUUCUUACAUACUAUAUUGACAAAUGUGACAUAUGGAGGAUUUGUAUUAGUUUAAUGUGAUUUUGGAUUUUAUAUGAUGGUAUAUUAAAUGAUAUUUGUUUGUUGUAA